ACAUUACUUAUAGAGAUGCAUUGAUUCAAUGCGUCUAAAUGAGGAGAUGCUGAUUGGCGCAUGCACGAUUGCCUCCCAAUGCUUUUCUAUGGGAAAGCUUUGGCUUGGCUUAUAUCAUCAAGUUUGAUAAUCUGAGACAAGGGGCCAGUCUCAAGUGAGUAGAUAACCUUUUACCUUCCUGAAGUUGGACUGGUGAUCUAAUUUGCACUAUUAGAUCUUUAGUGUCAGGAAUACAUGUUUGUAAUUCUAUAGUAUUCCUUUUAUGUUGCCAUGUAUAAAGAUCUACAGCUAAAAUGUAUUUAGAAAGUAUUCAGACCACUUAAUUUUUUUUAACUUUUAUUAGGUUGCAGCCUUAUAUUACAAUUGUCUAAAUUAUUUUUUUUCAGGUGAAUCUACACUCAAUACCACAUGAUGACAAAGAAAUAAGCAGAUUUUCUCACCACUGCAAAUAUAUUAAAGAGAAAAAAAUGAAAUUCCAACUUGACACAAGUAUUCAGACCCUUAAGUCAGUACUUAAUUAAAACACCUUUGGCAGCAAUUGUAGCCUCAAUUUUUUUUGGUUAUGAUGUGACAAGCUUUGCACACCUGACGUUAAGUAGUUUUUGCUAUUCAUCUCUGCAGAUCCUCUCAAGCUCUGUCAGGUUGGAUGAGGACCUUUGGUAGACC